GCUGUGAAUUACAGGAAGUGGAUGCGGGUGGUUUAGAGCCGUUCCUUAUGGUAGUCUAUUGGUGAAGCCUACGUUCGACAGUGGACAGAUAACGGCUAAGGUAUAAAAGGCGGAGUCAAAGAAAACUUUCUAAUGCUCGGAAUCAAGAGGAGAAAAUCUCCUCCUCUCUUUUUGGAUCCCCGUGGAGUGUCAGAAAAAGAUUAGAAACCAGAAUACCGGAAUCCUAUCAACGACGGCGAAUCAAAAUAAGACAUGUACCAGUUUUUAAAUUAAACCUUCAAGAAUACAACAGUGUUCGGUUACCGAUAUCGGAUUUUGGUGUACCUAAUAAUUUUACCUAAAUCAGGAACAAACAUACAGGAGCAUAGCGGACUAGUAAGCUGGUCAACUAACAGGGACUAAGGGCCUAUAGAAAAAUGCAAAUGAGAUGGAAAGAUGACACCAGGGAAAUAUUGUCUCAAUGGAGGAAAAUGUAACGAAUUAACAACGAUGGGUUUAAGGAUUGAUGUUGUGGUAGUCGACCUGAUAAGCAAUGGCACCCCUGCCCUUAGCCACCUUACUAACAAUGCAAUAAACAAAUCAAAAUCAUGUGAUAAUAGUCUAACAAAUGAAGGCAAUCAAAACACAAAAAAAAAUAAGAAAAAGAACAAAUUGAAUUUUAAUUUUUUUAUAAA
rnacentral:misc_RNA from 1 species